rnacentral:rRNA from 1 species
GAUUAUGGCUCAGGAUGAACGCUAGCGGCAGGCUUAACACAUGCAAGUCGAGGGGCAGCGGGAUGUAGCAAUACAUUGCCGGCGACCGGCGGAUGGGUGCGUAACGCGUAUGCAACCUACCUUAUACAGGGGGAAUAACCUUUCGAAAGGGAGACUAACACCCCAUGGUAUUGAUUUAAGGCAUCUUAGAUUAAUUAAAUAUUUAUAGGUAUAAGAUGGGCAUGCGUAUGAUUAGCUAGUUGGUAAGGUAACGGCUUACCAAGGCGACGAUCAUUAGGGGUUCUGAGAGGAAGGUCCCCCACACUGGUACUGAGACACGGACCAGACUCCUACGGGAGGCAGCAGUGAGGAAUAUUGGUCAAUGGGCGCAAGCCUGAACCAGCCAUGCCGCGUGACCAGGAAGACGGCCUUAUGGGUUGUAAACUGUCUUUUACAUAAGACUAACCGUAUAUUUGCGAAUAUACCUGAAUGUAUUAUGAGAAUAAGGAUCGGCUAACUCCGUGCCAGCCGCAGC